rnacentral:rRNA from 1 species
UCAGCCGCCGCGGUAAUACCAGCAGCCCAAGUGGUGGUCGCGUUUAUUGGGCCUAAAGCGCUCGUAGCCUGGCCGGUAAGUUCCCCGUGGAAUCGGGUCGCCCAACGAUUCGGCUCGCGGGGAAUACUGUCGGUCUUGGGGCCGGGAGACGCCGAGGGUACUCCGGGGGUAGCGGUGAAAUGCUGUAAUCCUCGGGGGACUACCAGUGGCGAAGGCGCUCGGCGAUAACGGGCCUGACGGUGAGGGGCGAAAGCUGGGGGCGCGAACGGGAUUAGAUACCCCGGUAGUCCCAGCCGUAAAGGAUGCGGGCAAGGUGCUCGUCGCUCUUCGAGGGCGCCGGGUGCCGUAGAGAAGUCGUCAAGCCCGCCGCCUGGGAAGUACGGUCGCAAGGCUGAAACUUAAAGGAAUUGGCGGGGGAGCACAA